GGGGCUGUAGCUCAGCUGGAAGAGCGUCUGGCUGGCAGCCAGAAGGUCAGGGGUUCGAGCCCCCUCAGCUCCA
rnacentral:tRNA from 1 species